rnacentral:misc_RNA from 1 species
AACGCACAUUGCGCCCGCCAGUAUUCUGGCGGGCAUGCCUGUCCGAGCGUCAUUUCAACCAUCAAGCCCUAGGCUUGUGUUGGGGUCCUGCGGCCGCCGCAGCCCCCGAAAUACAGUGGCGGGCUCGCUGUCACUCCGAGCGCAGUAGGCAACUCUCGCUUGGGGCGUGGCGGCGGGUGCCGGCCGUGAAACCCUUCUAUAUCUCAAGGUUGACCUCGGAUCAGGUAGGAAUACCCGCUGAACUUAA